ACUGCUCAGUAACACGUGGACAACCUGCCCUUAGGUUGGGUAUAAACCCGGGAAACUGGGUAUAAUACCCGAUAGGUCUCGAUUGCUGGAAUGCAUCGAGAUUUAAAGCUCCGGCGCCUAAGGAUGGGUCUGCGGCCUAUCAGGUAGUAGUGGGUGUAGCGUACCUACUAGCCUACGACGGGUACGGGUUGUGAGAGCAAGAGCCCGGAGAUGGAUUCUGAGACACGAAUCCAGGCCCUACGGGGUGCAGCAGGCGCGAAAACUUUACAAUGCUGCCAACAGCGAUAAGGGAACCUCGAGUGCCAGGUUACAAAUCUGGCUGUCGAGAUGCCUAAAAAGCAUUUCAUAGCAAGGGCCGGGCAAGACCGGUGCCAGCCGCCGCGGUAGCACCGGCGGCUCGAGUGGUAACCGUUAUUAUUGGGUCUAAAGGGUCUGUAGCCGGCCGGAUAAGUCUCUUGAGAAAUCUGGCAGCUUAACUGUCAGGCUUUCAGGAGAUACUGUCUGGCUCGAGGCCGGGAGAGGUGAGAGGUACUUCAGGGGUAGGGGUGAAAUCUUGUAAUCCUUGAAGGACCACCAGUGGCGAAGGCGUCUCACCAGAACGGACCUGACGGCAAGGGACGAAAGCUAGGGGCACGAACCGGAUUAGAUACCCGGGUAGUCCUAGCCGUAAACGAUACUCGCUAGGUGUCGGCCACGGUGCGACCGUUGUCGGUGCCGUAGGGAAGCCGUGAAGCGAGCCACCUGGGAAGUACGGCCGCAAGGCUGAAACUUAAAGGAAUUGGCGGGGGAGCAC
rnacentral:rRNA from 1 species